rnacentral:rRNA from 1 species
GACGAACGCUGGCGGCGCGCUUAACACAUGCAAGUCGAACGGAAAGGCCUGCUUUCCCUUGUGGAUUGCGGGUACUCGAGUGGCGAACGGGUGAGUAACACGUGAGUGAUCUGCCCCCAACUUGGGUAUAAGCCUGGGAAACUGGGUCUAAUUCCCGAUAGGACUGCAGGGUGGUGCCUGUGGUGGAAAACGAUUUUCUAGUGGUUGGGGAUGAGCUCGCGGCCUAUCAGCUUGUUGGUGGGGUAAUGGCCUACCAAGGCGGCGACGGGUAGCCGGCCUGAGAGGGUGGACGGCCACAUUGGGACUGAGAUACGGCCCAGACUCCUACGGGAGGCAGCAGUGGGGAAUAUUGCACAAUGGGCGGAAGCCUGAUGCAGCGACGCCGCGUGGGGGAUGACGGCCUUCGGGUUGUAAACUCCUUUCGACCGCGAGGUAGCCACCUGGUUGGAAGGGUGGUGACGGUAGUGGUAGAAGAAGCACCGGCUAACUACGUG